CACUUUGUCUUUAUGGCAAAUGUGAGAUGCAGUGUAUGGAAUGUCAAAUUUCUAGUAUGAGAAAUUAACGAUUUAAGUCCUUCUUAAAUGAGGCCAUUUACCCAUAGAGGGUGCCAGGCCCGUAUAACGUUAAUGAUUACUAGAUGACAUUUCCAAAGAGUCGUGUUGCUUGAUAGUGCAGCACUAAGUGGGUGGUAAACUCCAUCUAAAACUAAAUAUAACCAUGAGACCGAUAGUAAACAAGUACCGUGAGGGAAAGUUGAAAAGAACUCUGAAUAGAGAGUUAAAUAGUACGUGAAACUGCUUAGAGGUUAAGCCCGAUGAACCUGAAUAUCCAUUAUAGAAAAUUCAUCAUUAUGAUUUUAAUAUUUCCAAUAUUAAAAUAAUGUUGUGCACUUUUUCUAUAGAGGACAUUGUAAUCUAUUAACAUAAAAUUAAAUUUAUCAUAAGAUCAAGUAUGCGUAAGUUUAUUCAAAUUAUUUUGCUUGCAAUUUAACAUAGAAUAAAUGCUCUUGAUUUGAUAAAGUGUUGAUAGAUUUAUAACAUAUAGUGCUUAAAUAUUUUAUAUUUUAUAGUAGCAUAUUAAUUUUUAAUUUUUAUGUUUACUAUAUGCACUUAUAUGAUUAACAAUGCGAAAGAUUCAGGAUACCUUCGGGACCCGUCUUGAAACACGGACCAAGGAGUCUAACAUAUUUGCAAGUUAUUGGGAAUAAAAACCUAAUAGCGAAAUUAACAUAACUUAAUUAAUAAUGGGAUUAGUUUUUAGCCUAUUUAUAGUCUAUUAAUUCAAUCCCGGGGCGUUCUAUAUGGUUAUGUAUAAUAAUAUUUAUAUUAUUUAUGCCUCUAACCGGAACGUACCUUGAGCAUAUAUGCUGUGACCCGAAAGAUGGUGAACUAUACUUGAUCAGGUUGAAGUCAGGGGAAACCCUGAUGGAAGACCGAAACAGUUCUGACGUGCAAAUCGAUUGUCAGAAUUGAGUAUAGGGGCGAAAGACCAAUCGAACCAUCUAGUAGCUGGUUCCCUCCGAAGUUUCCCUCAGGAUAGCUGGUGCAUUUAAAAAUUGUGUAAAAUAAUCUUAUCUGGUAAAGCGAAUGAUUAGAGGCCUUAGGGUCGAAACGAUCUUAACCUAUUCUCAAACUUUAAAUGGGUAAGAACCUCACCUUUCUUGGUAUGAAGGUUGUGGUUGUGAUAUAAUGUGCCCAGUGGGCCACUUUUGGUAAGCAGAACUGGCGCUGUGGGAUGAACCAAACGUAAUGUUACGGUGCCAAAAUUAACAACUCAUGCAGAUACCAUGAAA
rnacentral:rRNA from 1 species